rnacentral:rRNA from 1 species
UACGUAGGGGGCAAGCGUUGUCCGGAUUUAUUGGGCGUAAAGAGCGUGUAGGCGGCCAUGUAGGUCCGUUGUGAAAACUCGAGGCUCAACCUCGAGACGCCGAUGGAAACCAUGUGGCUAGAGUCCGGAAGAGGAGAGUGGAAUUCCUGGUGUAGCGGUGGAAUGCGUAGAUAUCUGGAGGAACACCGGUGGCGAAGGCGGCAUCCUGGACCAACACUGACGCUGAGGAGCGAAAGCCAGGGGAGCAAACGGG